ACUGCUCCGUAACACGUGGAUAACCUGCCCUUGGGUCCGGCAUAACCCCGGGAAACUGGGGAUAAUUCCGGAUAACGCAUACAUGCUGGAAUGCUUUCUGCGUAAAAUGGAUUCGUCUGCCCAAGGAUGGGUCUGCGGCCUAUCAGGUAGUAGUGGGUGUAAUGUACCUACUAGCCGACGACGGGUACGGGUUGUGAGAGCAAGAGCCCGGAGAUGGAUUCUGAGACAUGAAUCCAGGCCCUACGGGGCGCAGCAGGCGCGAGAACUUUACAAUGCGGGAAACCGUGAUAAGGGGACACCGAGUGCCAGCAUCAUAUGCUGGCUGUCCGGGUGUGUAAAAUACACCCGUUAGCAAGGGCCGGGCAAGACCGGUGCCAGCCGCCGCGGUAACACCGGCGGCCCGAGUGGUGAUCGUGAUUAUUGGGUCUAAAGGGUCCGUAGCCGGUUUGGUCAGUCCUCCGGGAAAUCUGAUAGCUCAACUAUUAGGCUUUCGGGGGAUACUGCCAGGCUUGGAACCGGGAGAGGUAAGAGGUACUACAGGGGUAGGAGUGAAAUCUUGUAAUCCCUGUGGGACCACCUGUGGCGAAGGCGUCUUACCAGAACGGGUUCGACGGUGAGGGACGAAAGCUGGGGGCACGAACCGGAUUAGAUACCCGGGUAGUCCCAGCCGUAAACGAUGCUCGCUAGGUGUCAGGCAUGGCGCGACCGUGUCUGGUGCCGCAGGGAAGCUGUGAAGCGAGCCACCUGGGAAGUACGGCCGCAAGGCUGAAACUUAAAGGAAUUGGCGGGGGAGCAC
rnacentral:rRNA from 1 species